GCUACGGGGUGCAGCAGUGAGGAAUAUUGGUCAAUGGCCGGGAGGCUGAACCAGCCAAGUCGCGUGAGGGAAGACGGCCCUACGGGUUGUAAACCUCUUUUGUCAGGGAGCAAGGUGCAGGUCGGGACCUGCUGUGAGAGUACCUUAAGAAAAAGCAUCGUCUAACGCCGUGCCAGCAGCCGCGUUAAUACGGGGGAUACUAGCGUUAUCCGGAUUUAUUGGGUUUAAAGGGUGCCCAGGCGGAGGCCAAAGUCAGCGGUAAAAUCGCGGGGAUAAACCCCGCGCCGCCGUUGAAACUGUGUCCCUGGAGUGCGCGAAGGGUAGGUGGAAUGCGUGGUGUAGCGGUGAAAUGCAUAGAUAUCACGCAGAACGCCGAUCGCGAAGGCAGCCUACCGGCGCGCAACUGACGCUCAUGCACGAAAGCGUGGGUAUCGAACAGGAUUAGAUACCCCUGUAGUC
rnacentral:rRNA from 1 species